rnacentral:rRNA from 1 species
GGUGAACGCUGGCGGUAGGCCUAACACAUGCAAGUCGAACGGCAGCACAGUAAGAGCUUGCUCUUACGGGUGGCGAGUGGCGGACGGGUGAGGAAUACAUCGGAAUCUACUUUUUCGUGGGGGAUAACGUAGGGAAACUUACGCUAAUACCGCAUACGACCUACGGGUGAAAGCAGGGGAGCUUCGGACCUUGCGCGAUUGAAUGAGCCGAUGUCGGAUUAGCUAGUUGGCGGGGUAAAGGCCCACCAAGGCGACGAUCCGUAGCUGGUCUGAGAGGAUGAUCGGCCACACUGGAACUGAGACACGGUCCAGACUCCUACGGGAGGCAGCAGUGGGGAAUAUUGGACAAUGGGCGCAAGCCUGAUCCAGCCAUACCGCGUGAGUGAAGAAGGCCUUCGGGUUGUAAAGCCCUUUUGUUGGGAAAGAAAAGCAGCAGGUUAAUACCCCGCUGUUCUGACGGUACCCAAAGAAUAAGCACCGGCUAACUUCGUG